GACAGAGGGUGCAAACGUUGCUCGGAAUCACUGGGCGUAAAGGGCGUGUAGGCGGGAAGGAAAGUCAGAUGUGAAAUCCCCAGGCUCAACCUGGGAACUGCAUUUGAAACUCCCUUUCUUGAGUACCGGAGAGGAAAGUGGAAUUCCUGGUGUAGAGGUGAAAGUCGUAGAUAUCAGGAGGAACACCAGUGGCGAAGGCGGCUUUCUGGACGGUAACUGACGCUGAGACGCGAAAGCGUGGGGAGCAAACAGG
rnacentral:rRNA from 1 species